CCUACGGGUGGCAGCAGUGAGGAAUAUUGGUCAAUGGACGCAAGUCUGAACCAGCCAAGUAGCGUGCAGGAUGACGGCCCUCCGGGUUGUAAACUGCUUUUAGUUGGGAAUAAAAGGGGGCUCGUGAGCCCCGUAUUGUAUGUACCAUCAGAAAAAGGACCGGCUAAUUCCGUGCCAGCAGCCGCGGUAAUACGGAAGGUCCGGGCGUUAUCCGGAUUUAUUGGGUUUAAAGGGAGCGUAGGCCGGCUUUUAAGUCAGCUGUGAAAGUCCGCGGCUCAACCGUGGAAUUGCAGUUGAAACUGGCAAACUGGAGUGUGUGAGAGGAUAGUGGAAUUCCAGGUGUAGGAGUGAAAUCCGUAGAUAUCUGGAGGAACAUCAGUGGCGAAGGCGACUAUCUGGCACAUAACUGACGCUGAGGAGCGAAAGCGUGGGUAGCAAACAGGAUUAGAUACCCGGGUAGUC
rnacentral:rRNA from 1 species